rnacentral:rRNA from 1 species
UUGGGUAGGGGAGCGUUCUGUAAGCCUGUGAAGGUGGCCUGUGAGGGUUGCUGGAGGUAUCAGAAGUGCGAAUGCUGACAUAAGUAACGAUAAAGCGGGUGAAAAGCCCGCUCGCCGGAAGACCAAGGGUUCCUGUCCAACGUUAAUCGGGGCAGGGUGAGUCGACCCCUAAGGCGAGGCCGAAAGGCGUAGUCGAUGGGAAACGGGUUAAUAUUCCCGUACUUGGUGUUACUGCGAAGGGGGGACGGAGAAGGCUAUGUUGGCCGGGCGACGGUUGUCCCGGUUUAAGCGUGUAGGUGUGUGUUCCAGGUAAAUCCGGUUCACUUUAACACUGAGGCGUGACGACGAGGCACUACGGUGCUGAAGCAACAAAUGCCCUGCUUCCAGGAAAAGCCUCUAAGCAUCAGGUAACAUCAAAUCGUACCCCAAACCGACACAGGUGGUCAGGUAGAGAAUACCAAGGCGCUUGAGAGAACUCGGGUGAAGGAACUAGGCAAAAUGGUGCCGUAACUUCGGGAGAAGGCACGCUGACACGUAGGUGAAGUGAUUUACUCAUGGAGCUGAAGUCAGUCGAAGAUACCAGCUGGCUGCAACUGUUUAUUAAAAACACAGCACUGUGCAAACACGAAAGUGGACGUAUACGGUGUGACGCCUGCCCGGUGCCGGAAGGUUAAUUGAUGGGGUCAGCGCAAGCGAAGCUCCUGAUCGAAGCCCCGGUAAACGGCGGCCGUAACUAUAACGGUCCUAAGGUAGCGAAAUUCCUUGUCGGGUAAGUUCCGACCUGCACGAAUGGCGUAAUGAUGGCCAGGCUGUCUCCACCCGAGACUCAGUGAAAUUGAACUCGCUGUGAAGAUGCAGUGUACCCGCGGCAAGACGGAAAGACCCCGUGAACCUUUACUAUAGCUUGACACUGAACAUUGAGCCUUGAUGUGUAGGAUAGGUGGGAGGCUUUGAAGUGUGGACGCCAGUCUGCAUGGAGCCGACCUUGAAAUACCACCCUUUAAUGUUUGAUGUUCUAACGUGGACCCGUAAUCCGGGUUGCGGACAGUGUCUGGUGGGUAGUUUGACUGGGGCGGUCUCCUCCUAAAGAGUAACGGAGGAGCACGAAGGUUGGCUAAUCCUGGUCGGACAUCAGGAGGUUAGUGCAAUGGCAUAAGCCAGCUUGACUGCGAGCGUGACGGCGCGAGCAGGUGCGAAAGCAGGUCAUAGUGAUCCGGUGGUUCUGAAUGGAAGGGCCAUCGCUCAACGGAUAAAAGGUACUCCGGGGAUAACAGGCUGAUACCGCCCAAGAGUUCAUAUCGACGGCGGUGUUUGGCACCUCGAUGUCGGCUCAUCACAUCCUGGGGCUGAAGUAGGUCCCAAGGGUAUGGCUGUUCGCCAUUUAAAGUGGUACGCGAGCUGGGUUUAGAACGUCGUGAGACAGUUCGGUCCCUAUCUGCCGUGGGCGCUGGAGAACUGAGGGGGGCUGCUCCUAGUACGAGAGGACCGGAGUGGACGCAUCACUGGUGUUCGGGUUGUCAUGCCAAUGGCACUGCCCGGUAGCUAAAUGCGGAAGAGAUAAGUGCUGAAAGCAUCUAAGCACGAAACUUGCCCCGAGAUGAGUUCUCCCUGAGACUUAGAGUCUCCUGAAGGAACGUUGAAGACGACGACGUUGAUAGGCCGGGUGUGUAAGCGCAGCGAUGCGUUGAGCUAACCGGUACUAAUGAACCGUGAGGCUUAACCUUACAACGCCGAAG